GCUCCCCUGAGGCGGGGCUGCGCUGUCCUAAGGGGGACUCCGAGCCUGGGCUAUUUCUGGCGCUGGCGCGGCUCCAGGAAGGCAUCCGCAUUUGCGACCAGCGGUGGCAGCGGUGGAGCCUGGCCGGGCCUCAGCGCCCAGCACCGCCGCUCCCGCCAAACCGGAGCAUGCACCGCAGGCUGGCGGCCGAGUUCGCCCAUCCUAGCCAUCACUCUUCCACCUGCUCCUUAGAGAAGGGAAGAUGAGCAAGUCAAGCUCAAAGUCCAGCCAGUCCUUGGCCUCCAAGCAGAAAAAGGACGGCACUGAGAAGCGGGGCCCUGGCAGGCCCCACCAGCAGCCUCCGGUGAGUCCCGGGACAUCGCUGGUAUGGAGUCAGAAGGAGCCCAGCGAAAUGCCAACACCUAAGAGACCUCGGGCCGACCAAAGGGAAGCAAAAACAAGGACCCAAAAAACUGGAGAAGGAGGAAGAGAAGGGCAUCUCGCAGGAGUCCUCACCGAAGGAGCAGCUUCCUUCUGGGACUGGACAGCUUUGAUCCACUCCCACCCCGCCACACCCUCCACCCCCUCCCGACACCCACCAUCACCACCGCCUCCUGCCACCACCCCCAUCUUCCACCUGGUCCUCACCACCACACUACACAACACACCAGCCGCUGCAGGGUCCCUAUGGGCUGAGUGGGGAGGACUUUUCCCCUGGCCUGUUCCCACCCCUAACCCCCGCCCACCCACUCAUACAUAUGUGCCCUCCUGGACAAGGCUAAUGUCCCACUUAGCCGCACCCU